UCCCUGGUGGCUCAGACGGUAAAGCAUCUGCCUGCAAUGCGGGAGACCUGGGUUUGAUUCCUGGGCCGGGAA
rnacentral:tRNA from 1 species